rnacentral:rRNA from 1 species
AUUGAACGCUGGCGGCAGGCUUAACACAUGCAAGUCGAGCGAGUGGCGGACGGGUGAGUAAUGUCUGGGAAACUGCCUGAUGGAGGGGGAUAACUACUGGAAACGGUAGCUAAUACCGCAUACCAUCAGAUGUGCCCAUAUGGGAUUAGCUAGUUGGUGGGGUAAUGGCUCACCAAGGCGACGAUCCCUAGCUGGUCUGAGAGGAUGACCAGCCACACUGGAACGGAGACACGGUCCAGACUCCUACGGGAGGCAGCAGUGGGGAAUAUUGCACAAUGGGCGCAAGCCUGAUGCAGCCAUGCCGCGUGUAUGAAGAAGGCCUUCGGGUUGUAAAGUACUUUCAGCGAGGAGGCGUUACCCGCAGAAGAAGCACCGGCUAACUCCGUGCCAGCCGCCGCGGUAAUUC